ensembl:snRNA U6 U6 spliceosomal RNA
AUGCUCACUUCCACAGCUCACAUACUAAAAUUGGAAUGAUACAGAGAUUAACAUAGCCUCUGCACAAGGAUGACAGGCAAAUUCAUAAAGCAUUCUAUAUCAGA